UACGAAGGGGGCUAGCGUUGUUCGGAAUUACUGGGCGUAAAGCGCGCGCAGGCGGCCUUUCAAGUCAGGGGUGAAAGCCCGGAGCUCAACUCCGGAAUUGCCUUUGAAACUGUCAGGCUCGAGUACGGGAGAGGUGAGUGGAAUUCCCAGUGUAGAGGUGAAAUUCGUAGAUAUUGGGAAGAACACCGGUGGCGAAGGCGGCUCACUGGCCCGUUUCUGACGCUCAGGCGCGACAGCGUGGGGAUCAUACAGG
rnacentral:rRNA from 1 species